rnacentral:sRNA from 1 species
UUGGGCAUUCGGUGGAUGCCUUGGCAUCAAGAGCUGAUGAAGGACGUUGCGGCCUGCGAUAUGCCUCGGGGAGCUGGCGAGCGAGCGUUAUUAUCCGAGGGUGUCCGAAUGGGGGAACCUAACCUGGGUUGUGCUGGGUUACCAUCAUCUGAACGUGU